rnacentral:rRNA from 1 species
AGUGAACGCUGGCGGUAGGCCUAACACAUGCAAGUCGACCGGCAGCACAGUAAGAGCUUGCUCUUACGGGUGGCGAGUGGCGGACGGGUGAGGAAUACAUCGGAAUCUACUUUUUCGUGGGGGUUAACGUAGGGAAACUUACGCUAAUACCGCAUACGCCCUACGGGGGAAAGCAGGGGAUCUUCGGACCUUGCGCGAUUGAAUGAGCCGAUGUCGGAUUAGCUGGUUGGCGGGGUAAAGGCCCACCAAGGCGACGAUCCGUAGCUGGUCUGAGAGGAUGGUCGGCCGCCCUGGAACUGGGACACGCUCCAGACGCCUGCGGUAGGCAGCAGUGGGGAAUAUUGGACAAUGGGCGCAAGCCUGAUCCAGCCAUACCGCGUGGGUGAAGAAGGCCUUCGGGUUGUAAAGCCCUUUUGUUGGGAAAGAAAAGCAGCAGGUUAAUACCCCGCUGUUCUGACGGUACCCAAAGAAUAAGCACCGGCUAACUUCGUG